rnacentral:lncRNA from 1 species
AGAAAGGCCAGAGGUUUGUGAGUUCAAGGGGGAACAAAAAAUUCUGCACUGCUUUGCUGUGCAGUGCUGUUCUGAAGUUAAUGUGAUUGUUGCCAUCAGGGAAGGAACAGAAUGUGGAUGUCAGAGCCUUUGCCAAAAGCCAACGGCAUUCUCAGAUAGAUCUUGUUGACAGAUGCCUUGUCCCUCUGCUUGCUGCUGUGUUUCCAGUCCUGUCAACCUUGUUGUUGUUCACAUCUACAGCUAUGAAUAAAGACAACUCACAUGGUUCUGAGUGAGGACCACACAGUCAAGUCCUGGCACUCGACAGUUGCACCCCAGAGACACUACAAUGUCAUCUCCACCCAGACAGCUCUUCCCUGUGUACUGGCUGAGGAGGCUUCAGUGGAUCUAGAGUCACAUUACCAUAUAGGACAGCCAGUUUGUGGCUUUUGUCAAUACCACCUAGAAGUACAAUUACAAAAC